AUCCAGCUGACUAAUCCCAACUAGGACAAAACGCGUGUCCUGGAU
rfam:Schistosoma haematobium scaffold1399_30, whole genome shotgun sequence.